GCGCGUGUAUAGCGCGAGCUGUGAUAUAAUCCACAAACCGAGAAACUAUUACAGAUUCCAUUGACUUCAUAUAUAAGAUGAAUUCUGUCAGCUUCAUGUGUGUUGUCUUGAUUACUCUGUGUUUAGUGGUGGAUGUAACUCAUGGCAUGGGAAGUAAUUGUGCAAUCAAUGCUACUUGUAGCAAGACUACAAAUUUUAAAAUUAUCAAUUUACGACGCCCCGGUCAACCUGCUAGCUACGUAAAGGUCUGUUGUAUGCUAGAAGACGGGAUUCAGAGCAUGUAUUUUAGAGCGGCAAGUGCAACUGCUACCAAACGCGCUUUCUGUGAAUGCGAUUUUAAACGUAUUAUGGGGACUUGUAAACGUGGUGAACAAUGUACAGCGUCUAAUGCCGAAUCGAACUAUGGAAAAUUCAAUAAUAUGCCGAUCUGCUGUUCAACCAAUACUUCUAGAGUAACCAGACUUGUUCCCAUUUCUGGUACACGGGAUUAUGACUGCCAAUGCAGGGAUUGGACUGGAGACUGUUGGAAGGGAAGUCAGUGUAACGGCUGCGACCCAGGCUAUGUUGGAAGUGUGAGCGGCGUGAAACUCUGCUGUGCCAACUGCCAACAGAAAGGUCUCAACAUCAACGCCGGUACCAAGACCUGCAAUUGUAAUGUUUAAAUCUCACUCUUCAACAAUCUAUUUUCUUGUAACCCAAUUACAUUUGAUUAUCUCAUUUUGAUUUAAUGUCAAUUUUCCAUUUUACCAAAAUAUACCCUUGGCCUUAUUGUUUUGAAAAUAGAUAAAAAAAAGUUGAAAAGCA